CUCGGUACUGCGCAGCAAGCGCCGCCUUUCCCUCGGCGGCGGGCGAAAAGCCUGCCAACGUCGGCGCCUCUAUCCGCGAUCUCGCACCGAGUCGAGGUGGCGAGGUCGAGACCCGGCUGGCGCUGCUACAUCCUAUCGGUUGCACACAAGACGCCGCGGAGGGCGGGACGGCGGAGCGUACGAUUCCCCUUCAGAGUACUACGCAGCCGCACCAUCACAUCGCCGUGCCUUGACCGACCGCACAUUACUGCGAACCGGUGCCGUAUACCUCGCCUCGCCUGCAAGAACCGGCCGGCAGCUUCCGGCUCUCGCAAGAGCGCGGUGGCAUUUGCCGCGGAGGGCGGGAUUUCUGGGCCGCGUGCAGGCGAGCCAUCGCAUCGCCAAGUUCCAUGACCGACCGCCGACGCGUUCGCCGUUCCUCUCGUACUUGGCGGCGUCGCGCAAUUGUCGGGCCUCGUUCUUGCGCGCUGGAACGGACGGGAGGGCACUCGGCCGCGGUUCCCUUUCGGGAACGCGCGGCUUUGCCUUCGACCGACGUGAGCGACCGUUCGCGCUCCGCCUUUCCUCCCGUACUUGGCGGUCCCGCAACGUCCGGACAGCGACGUCCGAGCGCUUCGAGCCACGGUGCAGUGGCGGGUCGAAAGCCGACCCAGAUGUGCGUUACGCCGUUUAUACCAGCUUUCGCCACCUGGCCGACCGUCCAAGGUCGCAGUGUUGGCGUCCGCUGGGAGAAACAAUUAGUCACGGGGUGCCGCUCCACAUUCAGGCAGCCCCGUGGGGAAAAGCCACCCCCACGUACAAACGGGGGCGGCGGCAGAAAGUGUCGGGCGCAGACGGAACUGCGGCGCUCACCCUUCACGAUCCGGUAAUGAUCCUUCCGCAGGUUCACCUACGGAAACCUUGUUACGACUUUUACUUCCUCUAAAUGAUCAAGUUUGGUCAUCUU